GCGGCAGGCUUAACACAUGCAAGUCGAGCGGAGCGAGUUUCUUUGCACCUUAGCUUAGCGGCGGACGGGUGAGUAAUGCUUAGGAAUCUGCCUAUUAGUGGGGGACAACAUUCCGAAAGGGAUGCUAAUACCGCAUACGCCCUACGGGGGAAAGCAGGGGAUCUUCGGACCUUGCGCUAAUAGAUGAGCCUAAGUCGGAUUAGCUAGUUGGUGGGGUAAAGGCCUACCAAGGCGACGAUCUGUAGCGGGUCUGAGAGGAUGAUCCGCCACACUGGGACUGAGACACGGCCCAGACUCCUACGGGAGGCAGCAGUGGGGAAUAUUGGACAAUGGGCGGAAGCCUGAUCCAGCCAUGCCGC
rnacentral:ncRNA from 1 species